GUCUAAGGCCAUACCACCCUGAAUGUGCCUGAUCUCAUCUGAUCUCAGAAGCUAAGCAGGGUUGGGCCUGGUUAGUACUUGGAUGGGAGACA
rnacentral:rRNA from 1 species